AUUGAACGCUGGCGGCAUGCUUUACACAUGCCAGUCGAACGGUAACAGGCCUUCGGGUGCUGACGAGUGGCGAACGGGUGAGUAAUGCAUCGGAACGUACCCAGAGGUGGGGGAUAACGCAGCGAAAGCUGUGCUAAUACCGCAUGUGAUCUGAGGAUGAAGGCGGGGGACCGAGCAGCAAUGUUUGGCCUCGCGCCUUUGGAGCGGCCGAUGUCGGAUUAGCUAGUUGGUGGGGUAAAGGCCUACCAAGGCGACGAUCCGUAGCUGGUCUGAGAGGACGACCAGCCACACUGGGACUGAGACACGGCCCAGACUCCUACGGGAGGCAGCAGUGGGGAAUUUUGGACAAUGGGCGCAAGCCUGAUCCAGCAAUGCCGCGUGCGGGAAGAAGGCCUUCGGGUUGUAAACCGCUUUUGGCAGGAACGAAACGGUGUCCGCUAAUACCGGGCGCUAAUGACGGUACCUGCAGAAUAAGCACCGGCUAACUACGUG
rnacentral:rRNA from 1 species